rnacentral:SRP_RNA from 1 species
GCCAGGUGUUGUGGCGGGCACCUGUAAUCCCAGCUACUUGGGAGGCUGAGGCAGGAGACUCGCUUGAGCCCAGGAGUUGGAGGUUGCUGUGAACUAUAACACCAUCCCCUCUCCCCAGGGCAAAAGAGUGAGAGUCUGUCUCAC